rnacentral:tRNA from 1 species
GAGGUUGUGGCUCAGUGGUAGAGCGCUCGCUAUUCUCAGCAUCACAUUAAAAAAAAAUUAAAUAGAGAUAUUCUAUUUAAUUUUUUAAAAAUAAUUAAAAAAAAUUAAAGAGAAUAGGUUCUAUUAAAAAAUUAAUUAGAGAAUAGGUUCUAUUCUCAGCAUCA